GAUGAACGCUGGCGGCGUGCUUAACACAUGCAAGUCGAACGGUGAAGGCGGAGCUUGCUCUGCUGGAUCAGUGGCGAACGGGUGAGUAACACGUGAGCAAUCUGCCCCUGACUCUGGGAUAAGCGCUGGAAACGGCGUCUAAUACUGGAUACGAGCUGCGAAGGCAUCUUCAGCAGCUGGAAAGAACUUCGGUCAGGGAUGAGCUCGCGGCCUAUCAGCUUGUUGGUGAGGUAACGGCUCACCAAGGCGUCGACGGGUAGCCGGCCUGAGAGGGUGACCGGCCACACUGGGACUGAGACACGGCCCAGACUCCUACGGGAGGCAGCAGUGGGGAAUAUUGCACAAUGGGCGAAAGCCUGAUGCAGCAACGCCGCGUGAGGGACGACGGCCUUCGGGUUGUAAACCGCUUUUAGCAGGGAAGAAGCGAAAGUGACGGUACCUGCAGAAAAAGCGCCGGCUAACUACGU
rnacentral:rRNA from 1 species